UACGAAGGGGACUAGCGUUGCUCGGAAUCACUGGGCGUAAAGGGUGCGUAGGCGGGUCCUUAAGUCAGGGGUGAAAUCCUGGAGCUCAACUCCAGAACUGCCUUUGAUACUGAAGAUCUUGAGUUCGGGAGAGGUGAGUGGAACUGCGAGUGUAGAGGUGAAAUUCGUAGAUAUUCGCAAGAACACCAGUGGCGAAGGCGGCUCACUGGCCCGAUACUGACGCUGAGGCACGAAAGCGUGGGGAGCAAACAGG
rnacentral:rRNA from 1 species